rnacentral:rRNA from 1 species
UACGAAGGGGGCUAGCGUUGUUCGGAAUUACUGGGCGUAAAGCGCGCGCAGGCGGUUCUUCAAGUCAGUGGUGAAAGCCCGGAGCUCAACUCCGGAACUGCCAUUGAAACUGUAGAACUUGAGGAUGAGAGAGGUGAGUGGAAUUCCCAGUGUAGAGGUGAAAUUCGUAGAUAUUGGGAAGAACACCAGUGGCGAAGGCGGCUCACUGGCUCAUUUCUGACGCUCAGGCGCGACAGCGUGGGGAGCAAACAGG